UACGAAGGGGGCUAGCGUUGUUCGGAAUUACUGGGCGUAAAGCGCACGUAGGCGGAUGUUUAAGUCAGGGGUGAAAUCCCAGAGCUCAACUCUGGAACUGCCUUUGAUACUGGGUAUCUCGAGUAUGGAAGAGGUGAGUGGAAUUCCGAGUGUAGAGGUGAAAUUCGUAGAUAUUCGGAGGAACACCAGUGGCGAAGGCGGCUCACUGGUCCAUUACUGACGCUGAGGUGCGAAAGCGUGGGGAGCAAACAGG
rnacentral:rRNA from 1 species